UCCGGUUUAACACCGGCAGUCUCGUUAGAGUGCCCGGCCGAACCGCUGGCAACUAACGACAAGGGUUGCGCUCGUUGCGGGACUUAACCCAACAUCUCACGACACGAGCUGACGACAACCAUGCACCACCUGUACACCGCCCUUGCGGACCCCAUAUCUCUAUGAGUUUUCGGUGUAUGUCAAGCCUUGGUAAGGUUCUUCGCGUUGCGUCGAAUUAAGCCACAUGCUCCGCCGCUUGUGCGGGUCCCCGUCAAUUCCUUUGAGUUUUAACCUUGCGGCCGUACUCCCCAGGCGGCGGGCUUAACGCGUUAGCUGCGACACCGAGGGGCAAGCCCCCCGACAUCUAGCCCGCAUCGUUUAGGGCGUGGACUAC
rnacentral:misc_RNA from 1 species